rnacentral:rRNA from 1 species
UACGUAGGGGGCAAGCGUUGUCCGGAUUUAUUGGGCGUAAAGAGCGUGUAGGCGGCCAGGUAGGUCUGCUGUGAAAACUCGAGGCUUAACCUCGAGCUGUCGGCGGAAACCAUCUGGCUAGAGUCCGGAAGAGGAGAAUGGAAUUCCCGGUGUAGCGGUGAAAUGCGCAGAUAUCGGGAAGAACACCCGUGGCGAAGGCGAGUCCCUGGACAACACCUGACACUGAGGCACGAAAGCUAGGGGAGCAAACAGG